AUUGAACGCUAGCGGGAUGCUUUACACAUGCAAGUCGAACGAGUGGCGGACGGGUGAGUAAUAUAUCGGACCGUGCCCAGUAGCGGGGGAUAACUAGUCGAAAGAGUGGCUAAUACCGCAUACUCUUGGAGCGGCCGAUAUCGGAUUAGCUAGUUGGUGGGGAAAAGGCUCAUCAAGGCAAAGAUCCGUAGCUGGUUUGAGAGGACGACCAGCCACACUGGGACUGAGACACGGCCCAGACUCCUACGGGAGGCAGCAGUGGGGAAUUUUGGACAAUGGGGGAAACCCUGAUGCAGCCAUCCCGCGUGUAUGAGAAGGCCUUCGGGUUGUAAAGUACUUUUGGCAGGGAAGCGGUAUCUGCAGAAUAAGCACCGGCUAACUACGUGCCAGCAGCCGCGGUAAUUC
rnacentral:rRNA from 1 species